AACGAGGCCGACCUGCGGCUGAGUUACCUGCGGAGGGAUCAUUACAGAGUUGCAAAACUCCCUAAACCAUUGUGAACGUUACCUAAACCGUUGCUUCGGCGGGCGGCCCGGGUCCUUCCCGGCGCCCCUCGGCCCUCGCGGGCGCCCGCCGGAGGUAAACCAAACUAUUGCAUUGUAUGGCCUCUCUGAGUCUUCUGUACUGAAUAAGUCAAAACUUUUAGCAAUGGAUCUCAGAUCGGA
rnacentral:misc_RNA from 1 species